CCGUGCCCUUUCGUUUUCCUACUUCUAUUGCUUUGGCAAUGGCGGCUCGCGGCGUGGGGAUGUUGGCACGUUUACCCCUCUGUGCUCAGAGAGGUCAAGUCCUACGUCCUACCCACAGGCUUCUCAGUUGCCCAGGGCCUGUGGCCGCAGACCUUAAGAGAGAAGAGCAGUCCUCGAGGAAUGUGGAGACAGGCUCUGAAGACAAGACUCCCAAAAAGAAAUUCUCUGAGGUGCAGAACGAAAGACGGGAACAGGCACAGCGAACUGUUCUAAUACACUGCCCGAGUAAAAUCAGUGAAAAAAAGUUUCUGAAAUACUUAUCUCAACAUGGACCUAUUAGUAAUCAUUUCUUCUAUGAGAGCUUUGGUCUUUAUGCUGUUGUGGAGUUUUGUCAAAAGGAAAGUGUCACUUCACUACAGAAUGUAACUCGCACUCCGAGUAUGGACACAGAGGCUGCAAUUCCAUUCAAGUCACGUUUCUUCAAUGUAAAGAUGAAGAAUCCAUCAAACCAGACUUCAGAACAGCCCUGCAUACAGUGCAGUAAUCAUACCCCUCCUUCAAGCAAGAAGCUUUCUGAAUUACUUUGUUAUGCAGAAAGUAUAGAUGAUCAGCUGAACACUCUCCUGAAGGAGUUCCAGCUAACGGAGGAGGACAUUAAGCUCAGAUACCUCACCUGUUCUCUUAUUGAAGACCUAGCAGCUGCAUAUUUUCAGGACUGUACAGUGAGACCCUUUGGCUCCUCCGUGAACAGUUUUGGGAAAUUGGGAUGUGAUUUGGACAUGUUUUUGGAUCUAGGUGAAAUUGGAAAAUUCAACACAAACAAGACCUCUGGAAAUUUUCUGAUGGAAUUUCAAGUGAAGAAUGUUUCUUCAGAAAGGAUUGCAACUCAGAAGAUCCUGUCUGUGAUAGGAGAAUGCCUUGACCACUUUGGCCCUGGCUGUGUGGGUGUACAAAAAAUCUUAAAUGCUCGGUGUCCUCUUGUGAGGUUCUCACACCAGGCCUCUGGAUUUCAGUGUGAUUUGACUACUAAUAAUAGGAUUGCCUUGAAAAGUUCUGAACUCCUUUAUAUUUAUGGUGCUCUCGACUCAAGAGUGAGAGCCUUGGUGUUCUGUAUUCGGUGUUGGGCUCGAGCACAUUCAUUAACAAGUAGUAUUCCUGGUUCGUGGAUUACAAAUUUCUCUCUUACAAUGAUGGUCAUCUUUUUUCUCCAGAGGAGAUCACCCCCUAUUCUUCCAACACUUGACUACCUAAAAACUCUAGCAGGUGCAGAAGAUAAAUGUAUAAUAGAAGGCCACAACUGUACGUUUGUUAGUGACUUGAAUAGAAUUAAACCUUCAGGGAACACAGAAACACUAGAAUCACUAUUGAAAGAAUUUUUUGAAUAUUUUGGCAAUUUCGCUUUCAAUAAGAAUUCCAUAAAUAUUCGACAGGGAAGGGAACAAAACAAACCCGAGUCUUCUCCCCUGCAUAUUCAGAAUCCUUUUGAAACUUCUCUCAACAUCAGCAAAAAUGUAAAUCAAAGCCAGCUACAAAAAUUUGUAGAUCUGGCCAGAGAAAGUGCCUGGAUUUUAAGUCAGGAAGAUAAAGAUCGCCCUUCCCCAUCAAGUAAUCGGCCCUGGGGGCUGGCAACGCUGCUGCUUCCUUCGGUGGUAAAUAGUGUUUCUCUUGCCAAGAAGAAAAGGAAGAAGCCUGCAAGUGAAAGAAUUAAAAAUUUACUGGAAUCCAUAAAAACUAGCAGUCCAGAAAAUGACACAAACACCAAUGGGAAAAGAACAGUUAGUACUCAGGCAUAGUGGCUCCUCCUCCGCUUUAAGAACUGGUUUCCCCCGGGAACAUGCACUUUGGGGCGCCUGGAAGAACGGGUGUGAAACUCUCACAGAUGCCCACUGUCAUCCGAUGUCUCUUUUCAUCAUCUUCUCACUGGGUCUCCUCCUCGUCUGAAGUUCUGGGAGUUUUCAGCCUGAUAAGGCUCAGAUCCAUCGGCACCUAGAACGUCCACCACAAGGAAUGGGUAACAGAGGAUUGGAAUGCACUUUAGAUAAACUAUACAAAGCAAGAGGUAAAAAAUCAGUUUUAGAAUCAAACCAUUAUUGAUACCAACAUUAGGCCCCUGAUGGAAAUCAUUUAAAAGGACUUUGGGGAUCAUAGAGGAGAAGAGAAAAUACAGUCGAAGUAGGACUUCCUGCUGUCAUUACUACGAUCCUCUUCUUCCUUUUGCUCAGGGGCUAUAGUCAGCCUGCUGGUGCCACAGUAGGGAAAAGCUACAUUUGCCUGUGUCUUUUAAGCCAGCACAGGCAACAUCGCAGCAAAGCCAUCAGGAAGAGCAACCAAGCAGUCACAGCUUGCCCAUGUGGCCACUUUGCACUUGCCAGAGUCUGGCAUUCGGUUGAUGAGUUGGGAUUUAAAUGUGGGGGUGGAAAAAGUGAAAUCCUAAAGUCCUCAAAGAAACCGUGGACGAACAUUAUGAAUGUGCAGCAGGGAAGUGUGUCUCUUCAAGUAUGACACGCGCUGAGAAAAGAAUACAUUGAUAAAUGUGACUACUUCAAAAUAGAAGCGGUGCCACGAAACAACCAUAAACAAAAUGAAUUCUGGCAACUACUGAGAAAGGACUAAUCUUUGUAAUACAUAAGAUAUACAAAUCUAUAAGUAAUAGGCCAAAACAAAGACGCCACAGAAGCAACGAAAAUGCACACAUAAGUAGUAAAGAAGAAGUGUACUAAGAAUUCCAGAAGACUUUAUUGUGGAGAAUUUUGAACAAAGUAAACUGAAAAGUACAAUGAAUUUGCAUGAAUCUGUCACUUAUUUCAACACUUUUGGCAAAUUGUGUUUAAUUUAUAACCCUGUUACAUGCCCCUUUUGUAUGAAGCAAAUUUCAGUCAUUCUACCAUUUCAUCUGUAAAUCUGUAUCUCCAGAAGAUACUUUUUGUAACAAAACCACAAACCAUUUUUAAAUCUAAAUGGAACAAGGAAAAACAAUACUUCCUUAGUAUCAUCACAUCCAAUUAGUGUUCAGGUUGUCUUAUAGAUCUCGCAGUGGUUUUCCGGAAGGACAUUCGUUUGAGUCAGGACCCAGUUGUUGUCCACUUACUCUGGUUGAUGGGCCUGAUUCUGGAGUCUCUUUUUAAUCUUUAGAUUUCCAUUUCCUCUCCCUUUGUCCUUGCAAAUUACUGAAGAUAAUGGUUUGUCUUAAGUUUACACAGCGUGGAUUAUGUGGAUUUUGUCAGCACAUAUGAUUAUGUGCUGUGGGGUUGUUCAGCAUGAACUUAAUGACCUAAAAAUAAUUUUCACCAGUUUUAGAAAACUUCCAACCAUAUUUUAUUCUGUAUUUUCUAUCCUUUUCUUCGUCUUCAUUCUGGAUAUUUCUUUCUGAAAACGUGUUACAGUUUACUAUUUUUUUUUUUUUCUUAAGCUGUGUCUAAUUUUUAAAAUCCUUUCGCUGAAUUAUCAUCUUUAGUAGGUUUUGGUGUUUGGGUUUUUUUUUUUUUUUUUCUAAUUCUAGAGUAUCCACUUGGUACUUUAAAAUUUUUUUUUCUAAUUUUCUGAAAAAAAUUUGUCUUGUCUGCUUUUCUUGUAUUAAACACUCACUUUAAAGUCUGUGAGUGGUAAUUGGAUAUCUGCUGCCCUGUGUUUCUCCGUCUUUCAUGAUGUGGAUUUCUCUGCUUGUACACCUAGGUGUUAUUUUGUGUGUUGACAUUGUAUGUGAAAGAACAGAGAUUAUUUCCCAGAGGUUAGUUUCAUCCUUCAGAAUUGAUUUAGUUUUGCUUUCAGAAGGAGGUAGGGAUACUUAAGAUCUUGAAUCUCCUUAGUCAAGAAAGGGCUUUGAGAUUUUGAAGUUGGUUUCAGUUCCUGAUUUUAGUUACUCUUUACUCUCAGAGCGUGUCCCCAAUCCAAAGCCAGAGCAGCCUUUACCACUGUCCUUUGUCCUUGGUAAGCCCUGAACUUCAGUUUUUGUCCCCUUUCCUGUGAGUCUUUUGAAAGCUCUACUCAGCUUACCUCAUCAGCAGAUGCCCUUAUGCGAAUAGUAGCCCCAGAUGCUGGGCUAACCUGUCUGUGUACGUUUACUUCUCUACUGUCCUGUAAUUUUUCACUGCCUUCUUGGCAUUCGGUGCUUUCAAGUAACUGCCCUCAGUUUUGCACACCUUUUUUAAUGUUCAGAGUUGGUUUUAUUACCUGGUGUGCCAUUACAUUGAAUUCUUUGUGAUUCCAGCUUCCCAUCCCUCUGUGUGUGUGUGUGUGUUUUAACCUUAUAGAAAUGAAAAAUACUAUUCAUUUCAAACGCUUCCUUGUAAAAAGCUUCCAAAUGCUGUCUCACUUAACAACAUGUGUUGAGCUGGGCUCUGGGUAACAGUGUGAACACCUGUCUGCAGUGAAUGCCUAAUUCACCAGUAAGGAAACAGGGCCCUGCAAAUGCUGUUUCGUGCUGUGCUUCAGAAAUUGCUUUUAUUUCUGGUCUGUGAUUAUUUCUGGACUGUGAUUUCCUCAUACAGGAUUUUGUACAUGCCCGUUCAGAGUUUAAACUUACGCCAUGUGUGAAUGUGUGCAAAAUGCCCAAAUAAGAAUGGGGAAAAUAUCUUUUUCCAACCGUCUUGAGACACCUCAGACAACUAUGAAAUAUAAUUUUUCUUCCAGUUUUCCAAAACAUUUCUCUGGGUUGAGACCAAGAAUGAGGCAAUUUUGGCCAUAAUGCUUCUUAAAAUUUUUAUGAUUUUAUAAGAAGAAAUUUUCUUUUGAACUUUGAGCCUAUGUUAUUAUCAUAUCUUACAUGUGAACAUAAACAUCUCAGUGCAUCUUUACGUCAGUGAAAUAAUAUAGGUGUUCUGUCUUAUUAUGAGUCAGUGCUCUCAUGUUCAGCCAUUUCAUAUUUGUUGUUUUUCAGCUGUCUUAUCAGCCUGUGUUUGCGUAGGUAACAGAACCUGCAAUUAAAAAUAACCGUCAUUAUUUUGAGUUUUCAUUAUUUUUGGUUUUCAACUUGUGUUUGUGAUCUGCUACAUAUAUUCUAACAUUACUGUAUUGCCAGAGACAUUCAUACAGGUCUUUAAAUAUUGAAUAAAACCGUUUUUGGUGAAAACUGAAAUUAUUUGAUGUUUUUAUCUUGAUCGCUCUGCACAAAGACCGUACUUCAAACUUCCCCUUGAUGCUUCAGGAUGAAAGUCAGGUUAAGCAAUAUUUGAAUUUAAAUGUGGUUUAAAUGUUUUUUAAUUCUGAAGUCCUUUGUAGUUUUUAUUUUCCAAGCAAUAUUAGCUGUAUUUGAUCUUCUAGAUGAAGAAAGAUUUGACUGGGAUUAAAUAUGUGCAGUGCCAUUUUGGAGUGAAUUUUAUUCAUAGAUUAAUAAAAUCUGUCCGGCGUGAUUCAGGAGAAGGUAUUUUAGGCCAUUAAAUUUAGUUACAUAAGCUACAAUCUGUUUUAAAUUCUGUGCAACUAAAGUCUGGUUUGCUUUUUUUAAAAAAAUGUUCAUUACGCUGGGAAAUGUGGAGUAUUUGUUUUCCAAAACCAUCAAAAGCAUGCUCAGUCACUCAUUUAGGAAAAUUUGGAAGUACUAGUUUUAGCCUUUCAACUUAAUGACAGUUACUAUCAUUGUCUAAUUUUUUUUCUCUGUACUUAAAAGCCUUAAGAACAUGCUGAUGACUGAUUUGACUACAAGCUUUUUUUAAAGUGCCUCUGUGGUUCAAAUGCUGUUCUUUUUCAGACAGGAAGUAAACUAUAAAGUAAAGGAAUCUAGCACCCUACCUGACAUAUAUUUGGUAAUCAGUAAAUUCCUCCUACCCCCUUUCGCAAACCUCCACCACGCACGCAUUUUUAGCUCAUGAUUUUAAAUGUGUUAAGAUAUAAAAACAGUACAAAGAAGAGUUUAAGAGCUCAGCUUCCAUGUCAAUCUUUAAAUUUUUUUUUCUAAAACAAAGAUUCAACACUAAUACAUGAUGUUGUAGGCAGAAUUCUGUUGUGGCUCCCAGGAUUCCCAGGCCCUGGAGUAUAUACCCUGUAGAACCCUGUGUCCUUCUGUGUGAUCAGACCUGUGACUGGGAUGGAACCCUCACUCUCUUGGUUGGGUUGCAUUAAACAUUACAGGUGAUGGUUGCAUCAUGCCUGUGAUUAUGUUAUAUGAUCUAAGAUCCUUUUGCUGACUGGGGAGAGAUUCCUGCUGGCCUUGAAGAAGGAAGCUGUUGUGUUGUGGAGGGUCAUGUGUCUGGGACUCAAGGAUGACUUCUGAGAGCUGUAAGCUCUCCCCAGCCACCAACCAGCAAGAAAUCAGGGACCUCAGUUCCAGACAAGAAAAGACUGUGAGAUAAUGAAUGAGUAAGCUUCUAGGAGGACCCCCAAGCGUCAGGUGAGACCACAUCCUAGCCAACACCUUGAUUUUAUUGAGCCUUCUGAGACCCUGAACAGAAGACCAGUUAAGACCACUUAAAUCAUCUCUGAACCCUGAGCCACAGAAACUGUGAGAAAAUAAAGACAUUGUUUUAAACUGCUAAAUUACUGGUCAUCUGUUAGAUAGUAACAAAAGAUUAAUAUAUUUGGGAAAAUCUCUCUCUCCUUUUCUUCUUCUUCUUUUUGUUUUGUUUUGUUUUGUUUUGUUUUGGUGAAAGUUAAUUAUCUUAACAUUAGUAUCUGUGUUCAGGAUCAGCAGUGAAAUGAUGGAGACAGAAUAGGUGGACUCCUUGGUAAACAAAGGUUACUAGAUGUAGUAGACCAGACCGUGUAAUGGCCCCAGCUGUGUCUACUUCUAAUCUCCAGAAAGAUUAUGUUCCUUUACAUGGUAAAAGGACUUUGCUGCUGUGGUUAAGUUAAAGGUCUUGAGAUGGUAAGAUUAUUCUGGAUUAUCUGGGUGGGUCUAAUGUGAUCCAGGGUUGGCCCAAUAUAAUCACUUACUAGAAGAAGAGAGAGGGAAGAAGAUGUGAUGAUGCAGUCAGAGGCAUUUGAAGAUGAUACGCUGCUGGCUUUGAAGAUGGAGGAGGGGGCUGUGAGCCAAGGAGUGUAGGUACUUCUAGAAGCUGGAAAAGACAAGGAACCAGAUUUUCUUCUAGAGCCUCCACAAGGAAUACCGACCUGCCAACUUAAAGAUUUAUGAUUGUGCUGCUUUAAGCCAGUAAGUUUGCAGUAAUUUGUUUGGCAAUAGGAAAAUAAUACACAAGAUAUCUGAGAAACACUUCUAAAGUGGGAGAAACCAGAACAAUGAUUUAUCGAACAUACUCCCAUCCAAGAGGAGGGACACCUGAAAGAUAGGAACUUUCCCUAACAUGCUUGUAGAAACAAGCGAAUGUAUGCAUCCCUGAAAGAACAGAAUGACACAUAUACAUAUAAACACUCAAAGAAAACCUUAAAAAUGGAAAUACAAUGGAAUUUUAAAAUUCAAUAUAAGGGUUGGUAGAUGAAGUUAAAGAAAUUGCCCAGAAAGAGUUAAAAAAAAAAAAAAAAAAAGGAGAAAA